GGAGGAAGGUGGGGAUGACGUCAAAUCAUCAUGCCCCUUAUGUCUUGGGCUUCACGCAUGCUACAAUGGCCGGUACAGAGGGUUGCGAAACCGUGAGGUGGAGCUAAUCCCAAAAAACCGGUCUCAGUUCGGAUUGGGGUCUGCAACUCGACCCCAUGAAGUCGGAGUCGCUAGUAAUCGCAGAUCAGCAACGCUGCGGUGAAUACGUUCCCGGGCCUUGUACACACCGCCCGUCAAGUCACGAAAGUCGGUAACACCCGAAGCCGGUGGCCUAACCCUUGUGGGGGGAGCCGUCGAAGGUGGGACUGGCGAUUGGGACUAAGUCGUAACAAGGUAGCCGUACCGGAAGGUGCGGCUGGAUCACCUCCUUUCUAAGGAG
rnacentral:rRNA from 1 species